rnacentral:rRNA from 1 species
GACGAACGCUGGCGGCGUGCCUAAUACAUGCAAGUAGAACGCACAGUUUAUACCGUCUCUUGCUACACCAUAAACUGUGAGUUGCGAACGGGUGAGUAACGCGUAUGUAAUCUGCCUUGUAGCGUGGGGUAACUAUUGUAAACGAUAGCUAAUACCGCAUAAUCUUGAUUAUUCCAUGAUAAUUGAUUGAAAGAUGCUAUUGCAUCACUACUAGCUGGACCUGCGUUGUAUUAGCUAGUAGGUGAGGUAACGGCUCACCUAUGCGUAGAUACAUAGCCGAGCUGGGAGGGAGAUCGGCCAACAUGGGAAUGAGACAAGGCCCAGAAUCCUAAGGGAGGGAGCAGGAGGGAAACAUCGGCAAAGGACGAAAGGCUGACCGAGCAACGCCGCGUGAGUGAAGAAGGUUUUCGGAUCGUAAAGCUCUGUUGUAAGAGAAGAACGGGUGGGAGAGUGGAAAGUUCACACUGUGACGGUAUCUUAACAGAAAGCGACGGCUAACUACGUG